rnacentral:tRNA from 1 species
UGGGAUUUAGCUCAGCGGCGUAAGCACCUGCCUUGCAAGCAGGUGGUCGUGAGUUCGAUUCCUGGUACCAG